AUGGACAUGGCUAGAUCGACUCUGCUAUUGAUCCUGAUCAAGAAUAUAAAUACUUUAUAGGAUCGUAAACGUUUUCUUCUUCCUGUAACUUACUCCUCAGCGAUAACAAAAUAUAGUUUUACUCUACGAGUAACGGGUGAAAAACAGAGAAUCAUGCAAGACGGCAAAAAUCCAUUAAGUUAAGGGGAGAAAGACAGUUACGAAAUUCGAACAACAAAAUUUUACACCUGUUGUCCCGUGUACACGGCUUUUGCUUGUUUUUCGAUCAAUUGUUUUUAAUGUGAGAUGGCAUCGCUACUGUGUUUUGCAAGUGGAGUGCAAGAAAAGAUUGAGAACAUCACCGCAAUACUGAAGCGAAACAACUUGCCGAAGGCUAUAAAUGGAGUUUUAGCAGAGCCCCUUCUUUGCGGGUUUAAUAUAGACGGCGUCAACGGAAAAAAGGCCCUUAAGGCUUUACA